GACGAACGCUGGCGGCGUGCUUAACACAUGCAAGUCGAACGGAAAGGCCCUGCUUGCAGGGUGCUCGAGUGGCGAACGGGUGAGUAACACGUGGGUGAUCUGCCCCUUACUUUGGGAUAAGCCUGGGAAACUGGGUCUAAUACUGGAUAGGACCAUGCUGUAGGUGGUGUGGUGGAAAGAUUAGUUUCGGUAAGGGAUGAGCUCGCGGCCUAUCAGCUUGUUGGUGGGGUAAUGGCCUACCAAGGCGUCGACGGGUAGCCGGCCUGAGAGGGUGGACGGCCACAUUGGGACUGAGAUACGGCCCAGACUCCUACGGGAGGCAGCAGUGGGGAAUAUUGCACAAUGGGCGCAAGCCUGAUGCAGCGACGCCGCGUGGGGGAUGACGGCUUUCGGGUUGUAAACUCCUUUCAGCCAUGACGAAGCCCUUGUGGUGACGGUAGUGGUAGAAGAAGCACCGGCUAACUACGU
rnacentral:rRNA from 1 species